AAAGUUUGUUUCUUGCUCACAGAAUUCUGGUGAGCAGCUGCCCUCCAAGUGAUGACUGAGCAAUUCAUACUUUUUCUAUCCUGUAGCUCUGCUGUCUUUACACACUGCUUUCUGAGUCAGGGCUGCAGAGCGUGAAACACGCACACUAGCUUUUAACUAUAUAUAACUCGUACUCAUGGGCCAUUCGCCAGAAUGGUCUCGUGGCUCCAACUCAACCAAGGGGACAGGGUAGUAAAUCCCCCACGUACCUAGGAAGAAAAGAAGAACAUGUUAGUGAGUCCUGACCUGGAGAGGAUCCAGCUCCUGUAACGACUGAGGCCUUGUGAGUAUUCCAAGGAACUCCGUCCACUGCCUGUGACUUAGAACAUCUGCGUGAAUACAGAAAAGUUCAGCCGGACACCUGGAUGCUCUGUCCAGUCGAUACUCGACAUCUGAGGGUUUCCAGAAGCCUCCAAGCCUGGGGCCACGUCUGCACAGUUCAGGGAGAGGAAGUUUGACUCACUUGAGUUAUUUGAUCCAUGUGGACAGGCGCUGUGGGUCCCCAGGAAGCCACAGCAGCAUUCUUGAUCGCCCAGUGGUCUGUGGCUGAGGUUUCUGCCGAGAUCAUUGCCAAAGCCCACUUCCUUGUGUUCUGGAGCUCCUGGAUUAAACUGGGUUUAAGCCACGCCGCACAGGCAAGAGGCCCUCGAAUCGAAUUCUGGCGUCAUCUCUUUCUAACUACAAGAUGUGAGGCCAAAGAAAGUGGCUUAGCUGGGCCCAGCCUCAUUUCCUGCCAACUCAUAUGUUCCGAAGAGCCCGUAAGUCUCAUGGUUCCCUGUCCCCAAGCCGUCCUGCCUCCGUGAGGCUGCGCUUGGAAAGCCCUCGCUUUAUCUUGUUUUCCAGGUAAACUCCCAGCCAUCCCUUUAUGCCCAGAUCUGAUGUAAGGCUCUUGGGGGCACUCCCACCCCGCCCCCAGGCCUCUGCGGUCCUCUCAGGUGCUUUAAUCACCUCUGCAGUGAGCAAUUUCUGGAAUUCGGCUGCAUCCACAUCCAUGCUGCAUACUAGACUGGGAACUCCUCUGAGGCAAAAGCUCUUGGCUUCAUCUGCCUGGCACCCAGUAGGUUCACAGUGUCUCCAAUGAGAAUAACAGCAACAGGACCUUAGCGCUCAUUGCCCGCCAGGUGCCAUCCUAGCCACCUUCGGUGAUUGAAGUCAUUUAAUACACACAGCAAUUCGCACC
rnacentral:lncRNA from 1 species